AACGAACGCUGGCGGCAUGCCUAACACAUGCAAGUCGAACGAGACCUUCGGGUCUAGUGGCGCACGGGUGCGUAACGCGUGGGAACCUGCCCUUAGGUUCGGAAUAACUCCCCGAAAGGGGUGCUAAUACCGGAUAAUGUCUUCGGACCAAAGAUUUAUCGCCUUUGGAUGGGCCCGCGUUGGAUUAGCUAGUUGGUAGGGUAAAAGCCUACCAAGGCGACGAUCCAUAGCUGGUCUGAGAGGAUGAUCAGCCACACUGGGACUGAGACACGGCCCAGACUCCUACGGGAGGCAGCAGUGGGGAAUAUUGGACAAUGGGCGAAAGCCUGAUCCAGCAAUGCCGCGUGAGUGAUGAAGGCCUUAGGGUUGUAAAGCUCUUUUACCCGGGAUGAUAAUGACAGUACCGGGAGAAUAAGCUCCGGCUGACUCCGUG
rnacentral:rRNA from 1 species